AGUCUAGCCCCUGGUAGUAGGACAACACAGUGAGAACAGAUCAACUAUAGUUGUCAUCAAGGUUGGGGUAUGUCUGAGUUAGAGUGUAAGUCGGACGGACGCACGGGUGGUGGCGGCAAUAAACGAAAUUAUUAGCCGCCAGUGAUAUCUUUUAUUUAUUAUCCGUCUCGUCUCCCGGCCAAGACUCUACAUUGGCGACGAGGAGAAACUAAAAAAGUGAUUGAGUAGUGCUAGUUUUAAGCCGCAGGAUUGGAUCAAAUUUGGUAAGGUGUUGUGUAUUUUUUUUUCGUUGGCCGGAAGAGGAGGAGAGGCUAACACAAGGAGAGAGAGAGAGAGAAGUGUGUGUGUGUGUGGGUGUGAGAAUGCGUAUUGAAUGUCUGUGAAACAAGGAUACUACAAACGUAGGUGAGAGUCACUAAGGACACUAAUAUUGCGGUAGGUUGAAACCGGGUUUUUUCUGGACUUUUUGUGGAGGUUCGAAAGCCGCACCUCGGCAAACUUUCCGUACAGCGCUUCCACUGUAGACUUUUUGGUGUUUACCAACUGUACCGUGACGGGGAUUCACGCAAUUUGUGUUGUUGUGUGGUUGAUGGUGCUACCCAAAUUGGAGUGGUGGCACAUUCGACGAAAUUGAUUAAUUUUUGGGUAACUAUCGACGGCAAUGCAUUUGGGAGUGUUUCUUAUCUGAUUGCUGAUGUUAAGGUCGUAUUUCGUGGCUGUCCAUUUGUCAUGAAGCAUUAUUUAUUUUUAAGUGUUAGUCUUUUAUUUUUGUUGGUGUUAGUUUUUAUUUCCGGCAGCUGUAACCGGCGCGGUCAUUCGCUUCGCUGCCCAGUUUCUAUUAGUUUUGUUCGAUUUCUAAGAACUCAGUUAAUUAUAUUUUAGAAUCAAGUUGAAAUAUAGCAGAAUCUUGUUUAACGUGGAGAUAAGUUAAUCGUUGUGAGGAUGUUUUGAUUGGAUGAACAGACUUUAACAUUUUGGGUUAGGUGAAGUAAUGAUGGUUAAGUCAUUAAAAUAAGUAGUAUUGGUUGAGUCUGUAGUUUAGCUGUAACGAGAAGUGACCAAUACAUUUUGACGAUUACAGAGGUUUAACUCAGUCACGAAAUACUUUACUGCGCUGAUUCUGUCAGCAUACUGCUAGAAAAGUGACACAUUUCAGCUAGAAUGAUGUUAGAAUGUUCAGCUUUGUUAGAACCCUGAUAAAAAGUCGUAGAGGAUCAUGUAUUGCUUUGUGAAACUUCAUAGAGUUAUCUACAUAUACAUAUACUGCGGUUGAGGUUAAAUUUUGUACCGGCCAGAAAAAGAACUAAACUCUAUUAGGUGACACGCAAGGGUAAAAUUGAAAUGUGACCAAAGGAUAUUUACUAGUUUAUUCAAUGAACUGACAUUACUGUUAACGAAGGAAAAUUAAGUGAUCGUGUGGCAAGAGAAUGAUGAGGUGCUAUGUGAGUGAUUAAAGCAGAGUAUCAAUCGAUAAAACGAAUGGAUAAUAAGUGUAGUGCUUAUAUUAUAAUGAGAUUGCUGUCUAUAGACUACAUCAAAAAUAGGGGAGGCUUAGUGCCGGGGGAUGGCUAAGUGCCGGUGGGAUGGCUUAGUGCCGGGGGAUGGCUUAGUGCCGGUGGGAUGGCUUAGUGCCGGGGGAUGGCUUAGUGCCGAUGGGAUGGCUUAGUGCCGAUGGGAUGGCUUAGUGCCGGAGGAUGGCUUAGUGCCGGGGGAUGGCUUAGUGCCGGGGGAGGCUUAGUGCCGGGGGAGGUUUAGUGCCGGAGGAUGGCUUAGUGCCGGAGGAUGGCUUAGUGCCGGGGGAUGGCUUAGUGCCGAUGGGAUGGCUUAGUGCCGGAGGAUGGCUUAGUCCCGGAGGAUGGCUUAGUGCUGGGGGAGGCACUAGGUGGGAUGGCUUGUGAACGUCCACUAAUGCCUGGUGGAGAGAUGGCUUGUGGAUGUUCACUGGGAAGCCUGGUAAAGAUGAGGCUCGUAGAUGUUCGCUCAUGCCUGGCGUAGAGAUGGCUUGUGAAUGUCUACUGUAAGGCCUGAUGUGGGAGAAGCUUGUGAACGUUCGCUAAUGCCUGGUGGAGAGAUGGAUUGUGGAUGUUCACUGGGAAGCCUGGUAAAGAGGAGGCUUGUAGAUGUUCGCUCAUGCCUGGCGUAGAGAUGGCUUGUGAAUGUCUACUGUAAGGCCUGAUGUGGGAGAGGAUUGUGAACGUUCGCUAAUGCCUGGUAGAGAGAUGGCUUGUGAAUGUUCACUGGGAAGCCUGGUAAAGAGGAGGCUUGUAGAUGUUCGCUCAUGCCUGGCGUAGAGAUGGCUUGUGAAUGUCUACUGUAAGGCCUAUUGUGGGAGAAGCUUGUGAACGUUCGCUAAUGCCUGGUGGAGAGAUGGCUUGUGGAUGUUCACUGGGAAGCCUGGUAAAGAGGAGGCUUGUAGAUGUUCGCUCAUGCCUGGCGUAGAGAUGGCUUGUGAAUGACUACUGUAAGGCCUGAUGUGGGAGAAGCUUGUGAACGUUCGCUAAUGCCUGGUGGAGAGAUGGCUUGUGAAUGUUCACUGGGAAGCCUGGUAAAGAGGAGGCUUGUAGAUGUUCGCUCAUGCCUGGCGUAGAGAUGGCUUGUGAAUGACUACUGUAAGGCCUAAUGUGGGAGAAGAUUGUGAACGUCCGCUAAUGCCUGGUGGAGAGAUGGCUUGUGGAUGUUCACUGGAAAGUCUGGUGAAGAUGAGGCUUGUAGAUUUUCGUCCAUGCCUGGCGUAUAGAUGGCUGGUGAGUAUCUACUAUAAAGCCUGAGGGGGAAGGGACUUGUUGAGGUCCACUAAAUGCCUAGCGGAUAGACGUCUGUUCACUGUAAAGGUUUGGAAAAAGAGUGGACUUAGUGUGUGUACACAACGUAUCAAACUAGGACAAGUGCCGAUUAUACAUAAGAUGAGUGGUUAAAUUAAAGGAAGAUAGUGUGCGUGACAUGAAAAUAAUCAAGUGUUCUGUAUCGUUGAUUGGAGAUACCAAAAUCGCAGCAAUGAGAAGAAUUUGACAAACAAAAGUGUUUGCAUUGAAUUGAGUUACUAGAAAGGAAGAUAUUUUCGAAAAAUGAGACAAAAGAGUGCAGACGGUAGAAAUACAAGCAAAUGUGCAGAUUGGUACCAAAAAUGGAAUGAACAAGUGAUGUCGAUAAAGGAACUAUUGUUUUGCUGUAUACCGAAGAAGAUUCAUUGAAUGCUCGGUUCCAAAGAAGGCGAGUUCUUUACAACAUAGUUUGAGCGGCUAGGUGGAAUAUAAGUCAACGUUUUAGCUUCGGGCAUGAGCUCUAGUGAUCUUAUUUUAUGUUUUCGAGAAAAUAUUCCUGAAUCCCGACAGACAUUAGUUCUAGGGGUUAAUCACUUCGUAUAUACUGCAUACACGCAUAAUAAUCACACAAUAUGCUUAGGCUAUCCGGAACCCGUGGUGUAGGGGUAAGCGUGAUUGCCUCUCAUCCAGUCGGCCUGGGUUCGAUCCCAGAAGGUUCCGGUGGCAUUUUUUGAGACGAGAUUUGCUGAUCGCGGUUUUCGUCGAACGGAGAAGUAAAUGUUGGCCCGGUCUAACCUAGAAGUAAGGUCGAUAUCUCAGUCCAGGUAUAGGAGUCGUCCACCUGGGUCCUGUCUCGGUGGAGUCGUUAGGCAUUUGUACUACCAAUCCAAAGGUCGUCAGUUCGAAUUCCGGGGUGGAUGGAAGCUAAGGCGUAAAAAGAGGUUUGCAAUUGCCUCAACAAUCAUGCCUUCGGACACUUAGUUUCUAGUAGGAAUCUCGCAAUCGAGAACGCCGAGGCAAUGCUUAAGAGUGAAUAAUUUUGAUUUUUUUUAUGCCUAGGCUGCAUGCCGUAUAAACUCUAAUAUUGGCAUCACAUUGGUUCAACAUUAGCAGUGAUUUGCCUUUUGCAGGGGUUUGGCUUAUAUGGACUAUAAGCGUUGGUUAUCAGCGGCUUUAAAAAAAAUGUUUUUAUUUGAUAGAUUGAUGGAGGGGGCAUCUGGCGGGAGAGCGGUUGGGACUCCACGACCUAGACGUUUUGGAUGUGAUCAGGAAUUAACAAUGACAUACGAAUCAAUAUCGUCGAUUGAAGGAGGAGCAAACAUCAACCGUUCACAAAUAUUAUGGAAUAAUAAUAAUUUUAAUAUUUUGAUGUCAAUACAAAAAGAAUAAAAUCCACCUUUGCGUUCAGAUCCAGGUAGUGUUAGGAUGAUUGUAUAUUCAGAUCGAGAUUCAGAUUUAAAUGUAAAAUAAGUAUUACGUCAAACACUAUUCUGAAGUAAGGGGGGGAUGUCAGAGUC